rnacentral:rRNA from 1 species
UAGAAGAGAUUAUGCUAAAAUUAGUAAUAAGGGGAACUAGACCCCCUCCCGGCACAAGUGUAAGUCAUACCGGACCAACCAAUGACAAAUAACGGACCCAAAAACAGAGGGAAAAACAACAAACAAAAACAAACAAGAAAAACUUGUGAAGCCUAAACCGUUAACCCAACACAGGAGUGCCCAAAGGAAAGACUAAAAGGAGAAGAAGGAACUCGGCAAACACAAACCCCGCCUGUUUACCAAAAACAUCGCCUCUUGCUAACAAAAUGUAUUAGAGGUCCCGCCUGCCCUGUGACCCCACAGUUUAACGGCCGCGGUAUCCUGACCGUGCGAAGGUAGCGUAAUCACUUGUCUUUUAAAUGAAGACCUGUAUGAAUGGCAUAACGAGGGUUUAACUGUCUCCUUCCCCCAGUCAAUGAAAUUGAUCUACCCGUGCAGAAGCGGGUAUAAAAACAUAAGACGAGAAGACCCUAUGGAGCUUUAGGCCAAGGAACAAACAUGUUAAUAGACUUUACCUUUAAGAACAAAAAAGUCAUAAUAAACUGAAUGUAAACUGAUCCAAGUGCCUUCGGUUGGGGCGACCACGGGGAAAAACCAAACCCCCACAUGGAAUGGAGAAAUACCUCCCAAACCAAGAAAUACAUUUCUAAGUAACAGAAUUUCUGACCAAAAAUGACCCAGGAAAAUAGAUCCUGAUCAAUGAACCAAGUUACCCUAGGGAUAACAGCGCAAUCCUUUCCCAGAGCCCAUAUCGACGAAAGGGUUUACGACCUCGAUGUUGGAUCAGGACAUCCUAAUGGUGCAGCCGCUAUUAAGGGUUCGUUUGUUCAACGAUUAAUAGUCCUACGUGAUCUGAGUUCAGACCGGAGUAAUCCAGGUCGGUUUCUAUCUAUGAAGUUACUUCUUCCCAGUACGAAAGGACCGGAAAAAGGGGGCCAAUACUAAAAGCAAGCCCCACCCCCACCUUUUGAAAACAAAUAAAAAAA